UGGGAUAGUUCAGAUGGUAGACCAUGAGACUCUCUGCCUCACGGUCGUGGGUUUGAGCCCCACAGUGGGCAAAA